GUGCAUAACUCAUGAUGGAUCAACCCUCAAAGUCAACCUGGCCAACCCUCAAGUUCUAAAGCCCAGUUCUUAGUGAUGGAGAAAGCAGGUGAAUUUGAAACAGAGUGGGGACAUAAUACUCUCAACUUGAGAAUGAUUCAUGCUGGCAACAGUUUGGAGGAUGGAUUGGUGAAGAAGAAGCUAGAGUGUGUAAUCUCAUGUGCUGGAAACGUCCUUGCUCCACCAGCCGGAGGCCAGGAAGCGAGCACCAAACGCUGUUUGCAGGACAGCUCUUAUUUCAGGAAUGAAGACUAAGGCUCAGCAGGUAGGAGGCCUUGAGAACUAGCACCGAAUUUCCAAGAGGCCCACGCUGCCAUGGAGCUGCGGAGUGCUUGGCUCAGGGAACUCAUUGGAUAAUGAGACAAGAGACAGUUGCGAUAUUGGAAUAAACCCAUCCAAACUCAUCUACAUUAACAGGGGCACCAGCUUACUAUGCUGGGGAAGAUUUGAAGAUCAAGCGUUAGACAGAACUGAGUUGAAAUCUUAGAUACAUG